rnacentral:rRNA from 1 species
UACGGAGGAUCCAAGCGUUAUCCGGAAUUACUGGGCGUAAAGAGUUGCGUAGGUGGCAUGGUAAGUUGCUAGUGAAAUCCUGGGGCUCAACCCCUUACCCAUUAGCAAAACUGCCAAGCUAGAGGACGAGAGAGGUACCUGGAAUUCCUAGUGUAGGAGUGAAAUCCGUAGAUAUUAGGAGGAACACCGAUGGCGUAGGCAGGGUACUGGCUUGUUCCUGACACUAAGGCACGAAAGCGUGGGGAGCGAACGGG